rnacentral:rRNA from 1 species
UACGGAGGGUGCAAGCGUUAUCCGGAUUCACUGGGUUUAAAGGGAGCGUAGGCGGGCUUGUAAGUCAGUGGUGAAAUCUCCGGGCUUAACUCGGAAACUGCCAUUGAUACUAUAAGUCUUGAAUUAUCUGGAGGUAAGCGGAAUAUGUCAUGUAGCGGUGAAAUGCUUAGAUAUGACAUAGAACACCCAUUGCGAAGGCAGCUUACUACGGGUAUAUUGACGCUGAGGCUCGAAAGCGUGGGGAUCAAACAGG